rnacentral:rRNA from 1 species
CCUACGGGAGGCAGCAGUGAGGAAUAUUGGUCAAUGGACGAGAGUCUGAACCAGCCAAGUAGCGUGAAGGAUGACUGCCCUAUGGGUUGUAAACUUCUUUUAUAUGGGAAUAAAAUGUUCCACGUGUGGGAUUUUGUAUGUACCAUAUGAAUAAGGAUCGGCUAACUCCGUGCCAGCAGCCGCGGUAAUACGGAGGAUCCGAGCGUUAUCCGGAUUUAUUGGGUUUAACGGGAGCGUAGAUGGAUUGUUAAGUCAGUUGUGAAAGUUUGCGGCUCAACCGUAAAAUUGCAGUUGAUACUGGCAGUCUUGAGUACAGUAGAGGUGGGCGGAAUUCGUGGUGUAGCGGUGAAAUGCUUAGAUAUCACGAAGAACUCCGAUUGCGAAGGCAGUUCACUAGACUGCAACUGACACUGAGGCUCGAAAGUGUGGGUAUCAAACAGGAUUAGAUACCCGAGUAGUC